rnacentral:rRNA from 1 species
UACAGAGGUCUCAAGCGUUGUUCGGAUUCAUUGGGCGUAACGAGCUCGUAGGCGGUUUGUCGCGUCUGCUGUGAAAACCUAAGGCUCAACCUUGGGCUUGCAGUGGGUACGGGCAGACUAGAGUGCGGUAGGGGUGACUGGAAUUCCUGGUGUAGCGGUGGAAUGCGCAGAUAUCAGGAGGAACACCGAUGGCGAAGGCAGGUCACUGGGCCGCAACUGACGCUGAGGAGCGAAAGCAUGGGGAGCGAACAGG